rnacentral:rRNA from 1 species
GACCUCGAAUCAGGUAGGACUACCCGCUGACUUAAGCAUAUCAAUAAGAAUCAAGCGGAGG